GACAGAGGGUGCAAACGUUGUUCGGAAUUACUGGGCGUAAAGCGCGUGUAGGCGGCUGCGCAAGUCGGGUGUGAAAGCCCUGGGCUCAACCCAGGAAGUGCACUCGAAACUGCGUAGCUGGAGUCUCGGAGAGGGAGGCGGAAUUCUGGGUGUAGAGGUGAAAUUCGUAGAUAUCCAGAGGAACACCGGUGGCGAAGGCGGCCUCCUGGACGAGAACUGACGCUGAGACGCGAAAGCGUGGGGAGCAAAC
rnacentral:rRNA from 1 species